CUCACCAUGGAUGAUGAUAUCGCUGCACUUGUUGUCGACAACGGCUCCGGCAUGUGCAAGGCCGGCUUCAUGGGCGACGAUGCUCCCCAGGCCGUCUUCCCCUCCAUGGUAGGGCGCCCCAGGCACGAGGGCGUGAUGGUGGGCAUGGGUCAGAGGACUCCUACGUGGGUGACGAGGCCCAGAGCAAGAGAGGCAUCCUGACCCUGAAGUACCCCAUCGAGCACAGCACUGUCACCAACUGGGACGACAUGGAGAAGAUCUGGCACCACACUUUCUACAACGAGCUGCAUGUGGCUCCUGAGGAGCACCCCGUGCUGCUUACUGAGACCCCCCUGAACCCUAAGGCCAACCGCAAGAAGAUGACCCAGAUCAUGUUUUGACACCUUCAACACCCCAGCCACGUGUGUGGCCAUCCAGACCGUGCUUUUCUUGAACGCCUCUGGCCGUACCACUGGCAUCGUGAUGGACUCCGGUGACGGGGUCACCCACACUGUGCCCAUCUAUGAGGGGUAUAUGCCCUCCCCGAGGACCUGGCUGGCCGCGGCCUGACUACCUCAUAAAGAUCCUCACCGAGCACGGCUACAGCUUCACCACCACAGCUGAGCAGGAAAUCGUGCGUGACAUCAAGGAGAAGCUGUGCUACGUCGUCCUGGACUUGGAGCAGGAGAUGGCCACGGCGGCCUCCAGCUCCUCCCUGGAGAAGAGCUAUGAGCUGCCCGAUGGUCAGGUCAUCACCAUCUACAACAAGCGGUUCCACUGCCCUCAGGCGCUCUUCCAGCCUUCUUUCCUGGGCAUGGGAUCUUGUGGGAUCCACGAACCUACCUUUAACUGCAUCAUGAAAUGUGACGUGGACAACCGCAAAGACCUGUAUGCCCACACAGUGCUGACUGGAGGUACCACCACGUACCCUGGCAUCGCUGACAGGAUGCUGAAGGAGAUCACCGCCCUGGCACCCAGCACGGUGAAGAUCAAGAUCAUUGCUCCUCCCAGGCGCAAGUACUCCGUGUGGAUCGGUGGCUCCAUCCUGGCGUCGCUGUCCACCUUCCAGCAGAUGUAGAUCAGCAAGCAGGAGUAGACGAGUCCGGCCCCUCCAUCGUCCACCGCAAAUGCUUCUAG